rnacentral:rRNA from 1 species
CUAUACAUGACUCUGCGCAUAUCAAUAAGCGGAGGAAAAGAAACUAACAAGGAUUCCCCUAGUAACGGCGAGUGAAGCGGGAAGAGCUCAAAUUUGAAAUCUUAAAGGGUUUCCCUUUACGAAUUGUAGUUUAAAGAAGUGUUUUCUGUUGAGGUUUUGGUAAAAGUUCUUUGGAAUAGGACAUCAUAGAGGGUGAGAAUCCCGUAUUUGACCUUUACUUUCAACUUUGUGAUACACUUUCAAAGAGUCGGAUUGUUUGGGAAUGCAGUCCAAAAUGGGUGGUAAAUUUCAUCUAAAGCUAAAUAUUGGCGAGAGACCGAUAGCGAACAAGUACCGUGAGGGAAAGAUGAAAAGAACUUUGAAAAGAGAGUUAAACAGUACGUGAAAUUGUCAAAAGGGAAGCGUUUGACACCAGUGUUGUUUUUCUGAAAAUCAAUUAAAGAACUGUUUAUGCUAAGCUGUUUAGACUUUAUCAGCUAACUGUUUAGUUUUGAGCUUUUCUUUAAUGCACUUUUCAGUUAACAAGUCAACAUCAAUUUCUUUUGCUGUAAAAAAGCUUGAGGAAGGUGGCUUGAGAUUCGUCUUAAGUGUUUAUAGCCUCUUGCCUAUGCAGUCGGAGAGAUUGAGGUCUGCAGCGUAGACUCUUCGGGGUUAAGUAGCAUUUGUGCUAAGUUAUAGCAUUUUAUAGACAACUUGUUGACUAUAAUUAGUCUUGUAGCUUACUCGCUUAUGCUAUUUUACCUACGCUUAGGAUGUUGACAGCAGUAUAGACUGU